rnacentral:misc_RNA from 1 species
GUUUAUUAAGAGCAAAACUUCUUCCAGACAUCAUUUGAUUUGGCGGGUGUAAUAUUCUGAACCUCACAGCAUUAAGUUGAGCUUUUCCAAACCAUGAAAUAACCACAUCCAAACCCUCUAUUCACAAGAGUUGCAUUUUGCAUCAUUGUUUUAGCCAGUUCCUUCUCACUGCGAAGAAGCUUUCUCACUACUGCCAACAGAAUCAAGCAAUGCUAAAUACUCAUUUAUGGCCUCGCCUUCUUUUGUUACUUCAAUGUCAUAGUCAGUCAAGGCAUCUCCUUUUGCUAUUUCAUCUGCGAUUUCAUCUUCCAUCUCUGCAUCCCUCUGUUCAAUUUUGCUGGUAGAUGGACCUCCAACAUCACUAUCAUUGCUCAUAUGAUCUUCGCCCAUACCCUCAUUGUUGGUAGGUAUUAACCCAGGAGAAAUUGUAUUGUUAGCAGGAUCUGUUGGGUUAGAACUUGAUUGUGUGAGCAACUGUUGCAUUGCUUGAUCCAUCGAGCCACCAGCUUGAACAGCUUCAACCACUCUUGAUCUUUCAAAACCCAUGGAUACAAGCUGCUCAAUUGUAGCCUCAUCUUUUUGUCGUUGUCUUUUUCUUUUCUUUGAUUCAAUAUCGCGCUGGAUGGCUGUAUUAGUUUCUGGAUUUGUCAAGUCAUCUAAUGCCUUCUGAGUGUCAUUUUCAUUUCUUCGUAGAGCUUCAGCAGCAAGCUCUUUAUCAAACCCAACAGAGAUCAACUCUUUCAAUCUCUGGAGAUCCACAGCUUUCCUUAAGGGUGUCACUCCAUAACGUUGUUGCUCCCUAAUUUCAUUUCUUCGACGAAUGUCAUCCUCCCGUUUCUUUGCUUUCUUAUCUUUCUCCUCAACAAGAAAAUUAAUGGCACUUUCAACAUCCUGAUUGCUCAUUCUCAGUGCCUUCUUUGCAUCUUGUUCCUUAAAGCCCAUGCUCAUAACAGUUGAUAAGGCUUCAUCUGACACUUGUAACUGGAAGAAUCUUGCUUGUGCAGAGGUCAAAAACCUCCUACAUUUAUCAAACUGGCCACUAUGAUAUGCCACAACUCCUUCCAACAGCUCUAGUCUCAAAUAUAGAGCAAGCUCUGAAGAGCGACCUGCUUGAAGGAGUCUAAAACGGGAAGAAUCCUUGCCAUGAGCAUGUUCAAGUCCUUCUCUAGCCUUUUCAAGGCGUACCCCCGCCACUGAGAGCCAGGCAAUGUCACGGAGCAUGAAAUAGCACCACACCAUGUCUAUUUGCAGUAUUGGGAUAUUGUCAACAAGUUCAAUAGACUUGGGAUUGCAUAAAGAGAAAGCUUCCUCUCCCAUAGUGAGCACUUCUAACGCAUCUUUAAACAUUUGCCUUCUAAUUAGCCCCUUUCCAUUUGCAUGAAGCAUCAGACCCAUCAUUAUUGCUUGUUGAUCAGUCUCAGAAAAGUGCAAUUUCUGCCCACUUUGAUCUUCAAGUUCUAAAUUGAAAUCCUCAAUUGGCAACGAACCAUCUGCAUGUCUUUUGGACAAUGCAGUGACAGCUGCUUUGACUCGAGCGAGUCUACGGUUUCGUUCUUCAUCGGCCAUUAAUUCCUCUUUCAACGAGUUACCCUCCUCUAAAAAGACUCGAGUAACAAGAAUCUUAGAGUUGUUUUUGAUACCCAAUUGACAGACAAAGCUUUUCACUGCCAUCACCAUCUUUCAAGACUUUGCCAGCGCAUAUUAAAUUGAUUGAGUGAGUACCCAUGUUUGAUCGCUUUGCAACUUCCUGUCUGAGCAUGGAAACCGUCCAAUUCUGCAAUUCUACCUCCAGAACACCUACCCAUGUCCCUGCUAUCUUUAGUUUCGCCAUUGAAGUUCGAGAGCAGAGAGAGGAAAAAUUGAGAGUGUCUUCG